AACGCGUGGGUAAUCUACCUCCGAUUCGGGGAUAACAUUGCGAAAGCGAUGCUAAUACCGGAUAAUAUCCUGAAACCUUCGGAUUUCUGGAUCAAAGGUGGUCUCUACAUGUAAGCUAUUGAUUGGAGAUGAGCCCGCGUACCAUUAGCUUGUUGGUAGGGUAAAAGCCUACCAAGGCAACGAUGGUUAGCUGGUCUGAGAGGAUGAUCAGCCACACUGGAACUGACACACGGUCCAGACUCCUACGGGAGGCAGCAGUGAGGAAUUUUGCGCAAUGGGGGAAACCCUGACGCAGCAACGCCGCGUGAGUGAUGAAGGCUUUCGGGUCGUAAAGCUCUGUCGAGUGGGAAGAACAAUCCUGAUGCUAAUAUCAUCAGGAACUGACGGUACCACUGAAGGAAGCACCGGCUAACUCCGUGCCAGCAGCCGCGGUAAUACGGGGGGUGCAAGCGUUAUUCGGAAUUAUUGGGCGUAAAGGGCGCGUAGGCGGCCCUAUAAGUCAGAUGUGAAAUCCCGGGGCUUAACUU
rnacentral:rRNA from 1 species